ACCUGGGUGGCUCAGUUGGUUGAGCCUCUGACUUGGACUCAGGUCAUGAUCUCGCGGUCCGUGAGUUCGAGCCCCACGUCAGGCU
rnacentral:tRNA from 1 species